rnacentral:rRNA from 1 species
GCUACCAUGCAGUCGAACGAGCCUUCGGGCUAGUGGCGGACGGGUGAGUAACGCGUGAGAAUCUGCCCUCAGGAGGGGGAUAACGGCUGGAAACGGCCGCUAAUACCCCAUAUGCCGCGAGGUGAAAUGAGAAAUCGCCUGAGGAUGAGCUCGCGUCUGAUUAGCUAGUUGGUGGGGUAAGAGCCUACCAAGGCAUCGAUCAGUAGCUGGUCUGAGAGGAUGAUCAGCCACACUGGGACUGAGACACGGCCCAGACUCCUACGGGAGGCAGCAGUGGGGAAUUUUCCGCAAUGGGCGCAAGCCUGACGGAGCAACGCCGCGUGAGGGAUGAAGGCCUCUGGGCUGUAAACCUCUUUUCUCAAGGAAGAAGAACUGACGGUACUUGAGGAAUAAGCCACGGCUAAUUCCGUGCCAGCAGCCGCGGUAAUACGGGAGUGGCAAGCGUUAUCCGGAAUUAUUGGGCGUAAAGCGUCCGCAGGCGGUCUUGAAAGUCUGUUGUUAAAGCGUGGAGCUCAACUCCAUUUCAGCAAUGGAAACUAGAAGACUAGAGUGUGGUAGGGGCAGAGGGAAUUCCCGGUGUAGCGGUGAAAUGCGUAGAUAUCGGGAAGAACACCAGUGGCGAAGGCGCUCUGCUGGGCCAUAACUGACGCUCAUGGACGAAAGCCAGGGGAGCGAAAGGGAUUAGAUACCCCUGUAGUCCUGGCCGUAAACGAUGAACACUAGGUGUCGGGGGAAUCGACCCCCUCGGUGUCGUAGCCAACGCGUUAAGUGUUCCGCCUGGGGAGUACGCACGCAAGUGUGAAACUCAAAGGAAUUGACGGGGGCCCGCACAAGCGGUGGAGUAUGUGGUUUAAUUCGAUGCAACGCGAAGAACCUUACCAGGGUUUGACAUCCUGCGAAUCUUUUGGAAACAGAAGAGUGCCUUCGGGAGCGCAGAGACAGGUGGUGCAUGGCUGUCGUCAGCUCGUGUCGUGAGAUGUUGGGUUAAGUCCCGCAACGAGCGCAACCCACGUCUUUAGUUGCCAGCAUUGAGUUGGGCACUCUAGAGAGACCGCCGGUGAUAAACCGGAGGAAGGUGUGGAUGACGUCAAGUCAUCAUGCCCCUUACAUCCUGGGCUACACACGUACUACAAUGCUACGGACAGAGGGCAGCAAACUCGCGAGAGCUAGCAAAUCCCAUAAACCGUGGCUCAGUUCAGAUCGUAGGCUGCAACUCGCCUACGUGAAGGAGGAAUCGCUAGUAAUCGCAGGUCAGCAUACUGCGGUGAAUACGUUCCCGGGCCUUGUACACACCGCCCGUCACACCAUGGAAGUUGGCCAUGCCCGAAGUCGUUACUCCAACCCUUGUGGAGGAGGACGCCGAAG